rnacentral:rRNA from 1 species
GAUGAACGCUGGCGGCGUGCCUAAUACAUGCAAGUCGAGCGAACAGACGAGGAGCUUGCUCCUCUGACGUUAGCGGCGGACGGGUGAGUAACACGUGGAUAACCUACCUAUAAGACUGGGAUAACUUCGGGAAACCGGAGCUAAUACCGGAUAAUAUAUUGAACCGCAUGGUUCAAUAGUGAAAGACGGUUUUGCUGUCACUUAUAGAUGGAUCCGCGCCGCACUAGCUAGUUGGUAAGGUAACGGCUUACCAAGGCAACGAUGCGUAGCCGACCUGAGAGGGUGAUCGGCCACACUGGAACUGAGACACGGUCCAGACUCCUACGGGAGGCAGCAGUAGGGAAUCUUCCGCAAUGGGCGAAAGCUUGACGGAGCAACGCCGCGUGAGUGAUGAAGGUCUUCGGAUCGUAAAACUCUGUUAUUAGGGAAGAACAAAUGUGUAAGUAACUAUGCACGUCUUGACGGUACCUAAUCAGAAAGCCACGGCUAACUACGU